AGUCGAGCGGUAGAGAGAAGCUUGCUUCUCUUGAGAGCGGCGGACGGGUGAGUAAUGCCUAGGAAUCUGCCUGGUAGUGGGGGAUAACGCUCGGAAACGGACGCUAAUACCGCAUACGUCCUACGGGAGAAAGCAGGGGACCUUCGGGCCUUGCGCUAUCAGAUGAGCCUAGGUCGGAUUAGCUAGUUGGUGAGGUAAUGGCUCACCAAGGCGACGAUCCGUAACUGGUCUGAGAGGAUGAUCAGUCACACUGGAACUGAGACACGGUCCAGACUCCUACGGGAGGCAGCAGUGGGGAAUAUUGGACAAUGGGCGAAAGCCUGAUCCAGCCAUGCCGCGUGUGGGAAGAAGGUCUUGCGAUUGUAAGCCUUUUUAGUUGGGAGGAAGGGCAUUUACCUAAUAGCUUGGUGUCUUGACGUUACCGACAGAAUAAGCACCGGCUAACUCUGUGC
rnacentral:rRNA from 1 species